GACGAACGCUGGCGGCGUGCUUAACACAUGCAAGUCGAACGGAAAGGCCCUGCUUUUGUGGGGUGCUCGAGUGGCGAACGGGUGAGUAACACGUGAGUAACCUGCCCUUGACUUUGGGAUAACUUCAGGAAACUGGGGCUAAUACCGGAUAGGAGCUCCUGCUGCAUGGUGGGGGUUGGAAAGUUUCGGCGGUUGGGGAUGGACUCGCGGCUUAUCAGCUUGUUGGUGGGGUAGUGGCUUACCAAGGCUUUGACGGGUAGCCGGCCUGAGAGGGUGACCGGCCACCUUGGGACUACGAUACGGCGCAGAAGCCUACGGGAGGCAGCAGUGGGAAAUAUUGCAGAAUGGGCGGAAGCCUGAUGCAGAAACGCCGCGUGCGGGAUAACGGCCUUCGGGUUGUAAACCGCUUUCGCCUGUGACGAAGCGUGAGUGACGGUAAUGGGUAAAGAAGCACCGGCUAACUACGUG
rnacentral:rRNA from 1 species